rnacentral:rRNA from 1 species
UACGUAGGUGGCAAGCGUUGUCCGGAUUUACUGGGUGUAAAGGGUGCGCAGGCGGGCCUUUAAGUAAGAAGUGAAAGGUGGGAGCUCAACUCCUACACUGCUUCUUAUACUGGGGGCCUUGAGUCUUGGAGGGGGAAGCGGAACGACACGUGUAGCGGUGAAAUGCGUUGAUAUGUGUCGGAACACCAAUGGCGAAAGCAGCUUCCUGGACAAGUACUGACGCUCAGGCACGAAAGCCAAGGUAGCAAACAGG